rnacentral:lncRNA from 1 species
AAGCAUUGAAUCUUCUGUGAAUUUCUGCUUGAGAGCGUAAAGUAUUUCUUUUCAAUGAGUGUUUUACAAUUGAGAAUUAGUGUUUUACAAUUGGAUUCAGUUUGUCAAUUAUUGAAUUACAGUUGAUCAAGUGAUCAAUGUGACCAUUCACACAAGUGAAAAACAUUCAAGUUGGAUCAAUUUCGUAAAAUUUGAUUUUAUGUGGUUGAGUAAAAUGAUGUGUUUGAUUGCCAUUUGCACCUACUUUUUUCUUUCUAAAAAAAAGUCAUGCAACUGAACCAAGUUGUUUAAUUUUCAACUCUCACUAAGCAAGGAUUAACUAGAUUUUCAACUGUUUCUCCCUGUGAAAAUCCAUAAACAGGUUUCAAGAUGGGAGGUGGGAAGGGCUUACUGUGGUACACCACGGAUGCUGGAUCUAAGGGUUCUUGCCUUGGAGUCAGCAUUGGUGUUCAAAUAUAAGAAUCAUAUACUUCUUUUCUUAUCCCUCUCCCUUGUAUAUCUUCUCUGUUUCUUAUAUUAGAGAAGACUUGGUUGGUCCGAAAGAUGGAUUUGAAGCUAGGUUAAGUAGGAAAUCCAUGUUGUUUGACAGUUAGUCCAUGGAUUUUAAUUUGGUUUUGAUUUGGAAUUUUUAAGUUUGUGAUAUGUGUCAAAAACUUUGGUUUAUCAUUGAUUCAUGAUUUUUGGGGUAAAAUUUCCAUCCUUGUGUAAAAGUGGAUACCAACUUAGCUUUUCUUCUUAAACUUUUUUGUAUCACUCACUAGAUGCAAUUGAUGGAUUUUUUUUUCACCAAAGUGGCAAAAACACUAAAUAUUAUGCUUCCAAAUAUAAGUUUCCACAAUGUUCAGGCACUCCUAGGCUCCUAGCAUUAUUUCCCCCCUUUAUUAUAUGUGCACCUUCAUCUAAUCUCAUGCCUCAAUCAGGCUAUAGAAAUGGUUUGUUUGAUACAUACCAUUUUUAGUCACAAUUAGAUAGGAGCAAAGAAGCCUUAAAUUUGUGCAUUUGGUGUUUAUCUUUCAACUACAAAUAUUAUGGAAUUCUCUCAUUGAAUGACCAUCUGGCAUGAGUUUGUUAUCAUUUGAUGACAUCAUUAAAACCUUUUUUUUGGAGAGGCAAUAACUAUAGAAUAAUUUUUACAUAACUAGAAAUAGAUAGUCUAGGAACAGGCAAGAUUUUCCCACUUUGUGCUUUAUUUAUGUCUUGGGAUUUGCUCAUUCUGUGGUUUAUCUAUCUUGGGAUAAUUGUCCCUGCAACAUCUCCUAGUGAGAGACCUGACAGAAGGUUCCCUUUCUGCUCCAUUCUCUUGCAACCUUGAUUUUUAGAUGCCUGAUUUCAGAAGUUUAAUUCUGUUCCAUCUUCUAAUUCCAGCCCAGCAUAUAUCUUAACUGUACAGUACAUACUGAACAAAUCAUUUGUCUGCAGUUGCCUUUAUUUUUUCUUUAGAAUGUGGAGUCACAUAUUUAAACCAGGGGUUUAGGACUUAGGGUCCGUUUCUUGAACAAUUCCUUUACCAUUCAAAACAAGGCAAGUUCUUUAUAUGCUCCUCCAGUACUUUGGAAUGUUGCGUUAUACUGCCUGUACUACCCUUCCCAUUUCUAAAUAGAGAACAUGAAAAUGGCCUCUAGAAUGAGUAGAAGAGCUGAAGUAUCGGAAUGCUUUUCAAGUUUUGUGCCUGUAGAAAGAUAAUAUUUGUUGUUGUAUCACAAUAAAGAUUACAACCUAUUUAUACAUGAGAGACGGUAUCUAAACAGGAAGGAAAAUCAAGUCUAUGAUUAUACAAUCCCUAAGAUUAAGUAACUAACCCAUCUAUCAAUAUUUACUUCCUAUAUUAACAUAUUUACUUCCUAUAACCUAUAACACUCCCCCUCAAGUUGGAGCAUAAAUGUUAAUCAUGCCCAACUUGUUACAUAUAUAAUCAACUCGAGUUUCAUUUAGAGCUUUAGUGAAGAUAUCUCCUAAUUGUUCUCCAGUUCGGAUAUGUCCUGUUGAUAUUAUCUUUUGUUGGACUUUUUCACGAACAAAAUGACAAUCAGUCUCGAUGUGUUUAGUCCUUUCGUGAAAUACUAGAUUGGAGGCAAUAUGGAUAGCUGCUUGAUUAUCACAUCACAACUUAGCAGGCACCGAAUUUGUGAACCCAACUUCUAAUAGUUGACGUACCCACAAAACUUCACAAACAGCUUGUGCCAUGGCUCGAUAUUCAGAUUCAGCACUAGAACGGGAGACCACAUUUUGCUUCUUACUGUUCUAUGAGACCAAGUUACCUCCCACAAAAACACAAUACCUAGAAGUUGAUCUCCUAUCAACCUUCGAGCCUGCCCAAUCAGCAUCAGAAAAGCAUUCAAUAUUUGAGUACCCAUAGUUACCAUAUAAUAGCCCUCGCCCUGGGGCUCCUUUAAGGUAACAAAGAAUCUGUUCCAAAGCAUCCCACUGGGCAAUAGUAGGAGAGGACAUAAACUGACUUACCACACUCACUGAAUAUGCAAUAUCAGGACGAGUCACCGUCAAAUAAUUCAGCUUGCCAACUAUUUUUCUAUACCUUUCAGGAUCUGCAAAUGGCUCACUGUCUUCUGUGGUAAGUUGAAGGUUAGGGGUCAUUGGGGCACUACAAGGCUUAGCACCCAAUUUUCCUAUUUCUACUAACAAAUCAAGAAUAUAUUUUCUUUGAGACAAGAAAAUGCCUUUCUUACACCACAUAACUUCGAUUCCCAAGAAAUAUUUCAAUGAAUCCAAAUCCUUUGUAUGAAACUGUGUUUUAAGAAAUUCUUUUAGGGAUGUGAUGCCAGCAAUUUCACUUCCUGUGAUAACGAUAUCAUCCACAUAUACUACAAGCAAAAUUACUCCACUAUUAGAAUUUCUAUAAAACACUGAGUGAUCACACUUACUCAUCUUUAUUCUAAACUGUUGGACCACUUCACUAAACCUGCCAAACCAUGCUCGAGGACUCUGUUUCAAGCCAUAAAGGGAUUUUCAAAGUCUACAAACCUUGCCUGACUCCCCCUGAACAACAAAACCAGGUGGUUGCUCAAUAUAAACCUCCUCCUGAAGAUCACCAUGAAGAAAAGUAUUUUUAAUAUCCAGUUGAUGCAAAGGCCAAUCAUGUGUAGCUGCCAAGGAAAUAAGCAAUCGAACAGAUGCGAGCUUGACAACUGGGGCAAAUGUAUCAGAAUAGUCAACUCCAUAAGUUUGUGCAUAACUUUUGGCCACUAAAAGGGUCUUGAGGCGAGCAACAGAUUCAUCAGGAUUUACUUUCACUGCAAACACCCAUUUGCACCCAAUAGCCCGCUUUCAUGGGGGCAAGGACAUCAACUCCCAAGUACCAUUAGUGUCAAGGGCCAUCAUUUCCUCUUCCAUUGCAGCACGCCAACCAGGAUGGGAUAAAGCUUCAAUAAUGGUUUUGGGAACUGAAAUAGAAUCUAAAACAGUGGCAAAACAGCGAGAAGAAAAGGAUAAUUGAUCAUAAGAGACACAAGCUGAAAUAGGAUAAGCGCAAGUACGUUUACCUUUGCGAAGAGCAUUGGGCAAAUCCAAAUCAGACAGUGAAGGAUCAGUGGGAGCAGGAUCUGUCAACGAAGAAGCGGGUAGUGGAGCGGAGUCAGAGUCCUCUAAGCGUCUGGAAUACACAUGAAAGAUGGGAGGGCGACCUGGCACAUGAGCAAAAGGUGUAGGAGUAGUUUGAGGAGACAGAGAGCGAACAGUGUGUAACAAGAGGUCAUCUUCCUCCCCUUGCGUGUUAUAAACAGAUGAUGGCGGAAAAAACGGAGUGGACUCAAAGAAUGUUACAUCUGCAGACACAAGAUACCGAUUCAGAUCAAGAGAAAAACAACGAUACCCUUUCUGACGUUGAGAGUAGCCAAGGAAGACACAUUUGAGUGAUUUAGGAUCCAAUUUAGUAAUCUGUGGACGAACAUCACGAACAAAACAAGUACACCCAAAGAUACGUGGUUCAAUAGGAAACAAAGAUUUAGUGGAAAACAAAAUAUUAUAAGGAAUAUCACCAUGAAGGAUGGAGGAAGGUAUGCGAUUGAUCAAAAACAAGCCGUGGAUACAGCAUCAGCCCAAAAACAUUUAGGUACUUUCAUUUGGAAUAAGAGGGCUCUGGCUACUUCAAGAAGAUGUUAAUUUUUUCUUUCAGCAACUCCAUUUUGUGAAGGAGUGUCAAUACAAGAGGACUGAUGAAGAAUCUCUUUUUGUAACAAAUAAGAUUGAAAUUCCCCAGAGAGAUACUCUUUAGUAUUAUCACUUUGCAAUAUACGAAUGGGAAUAUUGACUUGGGUUUGGAUUUCAGCAUGAAAUGCACAAAAGAUAGAAAAUAAUUCUGAACGACUCUUCAUUAAAAAUAACCAAGUAGUACGAGAGAAGUCAUCAACAAAAGUAAUAAAGUACUUAAAGCCAGACUUAAACACAGUAGGACAAGGACCCCAAACAUCUGAAUGUACUAACUCAAAGGGGACGAAGCUCGUUUAUUGACUUGAGACACUGAAGGUAAACGAUGAUGUUUGGCAAAUUGACAAGACUCACAAUCUAAAACAGACAAAGAAUGAAACUGUGGAUAUAACUUCUUCAAAUCUGAGAGAGAAGGAUGUCCCAAACGACAAUGAACAUCAAAAGGUGUUAAACGCGUGAAACAUGCAAGAGAUCUAGGUAGUUACUGAUCCAAGACGUAGAGACUCUCUGACUCACGCCCUCUACCAAUAAUUUGCUUCGUCGAAAGAUCUUGAAAAAUAUAGUGAUCAGGAAAGAAUGAGGCACAACAAUUCAAUGCACGAGUGAGUUUACUAAGAAAAAGCAAAUUAAAUGCAAACUUAGGGAGACAUAACACAUAGGAUACAGAAAGAGAAGAGUUAAGUUGACAUGACCAGAACCCAUGACAAAAGAUUUAGUACCAUUAGCAAGAGUAACAUAAGAAGGCGAUGCAUGAGACUCAAGAUUGGACAAAAGGAUAGAAUUACCUGACAUAUGAUCGGUAGCACCAGAAUCAAUAACUCAUUUGGAGGAUGAAGAUACAAGACAAGCAGUAGAGUUACCUAACUCGGCAAUUGCAGUGAUAGAGGAGGAAUUAGAGGAUUUCAGAGAUGCAUGGUAUUGGAUGAAUUGUGCAUACUCAUCUGCAGAUAUCAAAAUUCCCUGAUCUGAAGGGGCCUCAACUGCCAUAUACGCUAUUUGUGUGUGCUGAUUCUUAUUCUGUAGAACAGUGCCCGUGAACAAUACCGAAAAAAAAACACCUCCACCCAGCACCCAAACGGCAAACAAACCUCAAAUCUGACAAGGGGACGGUGUGGCAACUCCAGCAACGGUGAGAUUCAAAUGUUACCCUUUAUGGGUAAUCCAAAUGAACAUAGCCCUAAGUCUCAAAAAAUAUAAAACUUGACGAGAGAGAAAAAUUAAAUCUCUACGAGAAAGGCUCUGAUACCAUGUAGAAAGAUAAUAUUUGUUGUUGUAUCACAAUAAAUAUUACAACUUAUUUAUACAUGAGAGACGGUAUCUAAACAGGAAGGAAAAUCAAGCCUAUAAUUAUAUAAUCCCUAUGAUUAUAUAAUCCCUAUGAUUAUAUAAUCCCUAUGAUUAUAUAAUUCCUAAGAUUAAGUAACUAACCCAUCUAUCAAUAUUUACUUCCUAUAUUAACAUAUUUACUUCCUAUAACCUAUAACAGUGCCAACAAAGCUUUUAGCACCGUGUAGGCUGUUUGUGAAAACCCUUUUCAGCAUUUCAAACAGGUGGAAGAAGGUAAUAUGCCUAGGGAGUUCACAAACUUGUAAGCUGAUAUUAACAUGAUAGAUAGAGAACCUAUGUUCAAGAAGCUCAUUUCAAUCUUAGAAGUAAAGCACCAUCUUUGGCAGCAGAAAUCACAGUGAUUAUACAUUUUAUGUUUGUUGCAGAUAUAAGAGUAUUGCACUCACCUGCAAGCUUAAACUUUUAGGUUGAACGAUUCCUUAAUAUAAAACCAGAGCCUCUCAUGUGAAGAGGUCUACAAAUUUCGAAUCUUUGCAUUCUCAAUUUAUUAAUUGAUUAUUUUGGCACAAGAUAAAGUGGAUCGUCUUGUUGAUGCUUCAAGCCUAGUGGGUAUUCAUAUGCGUGGAUGUGUUGUAAAUAUAAGACUAAUAUUUGGGCCCUCAAUUUACAAGUUCUAGACUUUUAUGUUCAGUGGUUCCCUCAACCUGAGAUAGCUUUGAGGUGAAGUUAGUCCUAGUCUAUUUUCUCAAUAUAUUAUUAAAGCACGGUUUGAGUUGUGGGUUACAGCUGUCCAUAGGCUAUGUAAUUGAGCCCAUCAUAGAUUCUAUUUGACUAAUUGUCAAGUGACAAGCAUGUGGUUGCACUUGAGCAAGAAGUGUUGCAAAAUGAACUGGGAUUGAAGCCCCACAUAGAAAAUCUAUAAGCUGAAGGGCAGUAUAUAUAUGGUUGGGUUGCAACAUUGACCUGUCUAGUUAUUUUGAUGCGUAGAACUACUCAAUCAUUUGUUUAAGUUUGUAUAAAAAUAUAUGUCCAGCACCUUCUUUGAAUUUAACAGUGUUUCCUGGCUUUGCUGUCAUGAUAGUCUGUAAACUAUUUUAAAUUUUUUACUUGGGAUAAAAUAAUGUUACUAGAAUUUGUCCAUAGAUAGAAAAUAUAAGGAGAAAUGUUGAAAAUCAAUAUGUAAAGCUGGUAUUAUUAGUGUAUAAUGUAUUUAUAUUUCUAAAAUGAAAAGAGAAUGCAAGAAAUUGAUGAAUAAAAUAGAGGGAGUGUAAGAAGUACUGUAUGGUUUAACACUUUCAAGCUUUAAGGUACAGAUUUCUUCUGUCUAAUUAUCAAUGUCUUGCAUUGUUUUCGUUUUCACAGGUG